GCGGCGUCGCGGAGCUCGGGCCGGUGGAAGGUUUACCUGCUAGGCUCGUCCCACCUGUGUGGAGCUCCCAUCGCCCUCCAGCGUUGCGCAGCCUGAAGGGACAGGACGGACAAGCGGGUGCCUCCUUCUAAUUCAUCUUCACCAUUGUGGUUGUCAAUAUGGCAUGCAGAAUUAUCCCUCUUUCCAGGUUUUCCCCAAGGACCCUGGACAAUGCUGGUUUUUCCUAUGUGCACCACCAAAGGGCCUAUCCAGGAAAUGGAAAUGAAAGCAAAAUGGAAGGACGUGAGGUCCUUAUCCUUGGAGAUCCUAUGGAGUCUCCACAGACAUUCCUUGAAGAAAUCAGAUGGAGCUGAGCCUGACACUCUAACCGGUUCUCUGGGUGUACUGCAAAGGUCUAAUAAAAGGCACCUUUGCCCGGUUGCUUCAAUUCUAGGAAGCUGUUCAAUGUUUGACUAUAUUUCUCCAUACUCAUUUGAAAACAGUUCAUCAGGUUAGUUCAGUUGAAUUAUUGCUCCUUGGGAGUUUUCCAAACCCUGGAUUUCCUUCGGAGAGAGCUAGAUUCUAUUCCAUUCUUGGAAUUCAGCUCCUUGCCCUUCUCUGUGACCCCGGAUCGCGAAUGCAGUAAAAAUAAAAAUAUCCUGCUGCCUCCUGCACU
rnacentral:lncRNA from 1 species